AACCGCUCCUCGAUGGCCAAGACCAGAGAGCUGUUCCAACAGGAGUGCAUGCCUCGGUGCAUCGACAUCUUGUGCCAACGUGAUCCGAACAUGCGGAACGCCAGACUCACCCCACGAGAAGCAGUGCGCGAUCAACGCCAUCCUCAGCAAGACAACACUCCAUCCAACGACUGUGAUCUAAAGACUCUUUUAAUCUGCGACAGAGUGACACGCUUGAUCCUAACUGCUGUCUUCAUUGCUGUGCGUCAACCUCCCUCUCCUCGUUGUGUGCCAGUUGAGGGUUGGUGCGCCGCCCAACUGUUGCUCUCCUUUUAGCAUCAUGCUGCUCCACUGACAGCGCCACAGCAGUCAGGAUACCUGCAUACCCCAUUAACAAUGUCUGGUACAAAUAGGAAUGACUGAGGGUAGCAGUAGUUCUGGCUCAGGUUCAAGGAGACAUGCCAUUCUGCUGAACCUGCCCCAGAGAUGGUUCCUUAACCUCUGAGGGCUCUCGGGACAGAGGGUUGUAGUCUUCGGCCGAG
ensembl:lncRNA